rnacentral:misc_RNA from 1 species
UUUCCGUAGGUGAACCUGCGGAAGGAUCAUUAAAAAUGAAGCCGGGAAACCGGUCCUUCUAACCCUUUAUUAUCUUAAUUUGUUGCUUUGGUGGGCCGCGCAAGCACCGGCUUCGGCUGGAGCGUGCCCGCCAGAGGACACAACUCUGUAUCAAAUGUCGUCUGAGUACUAUAAAAUAGUUAAAACUUUCAACAACGGAUCUCUUGGUUCUG